rnacentral:rRNA from 1 species
GUCCACGCCCUAAACUAUGUCAACUGGUUGUCGUGGAAGCAAUUCCUUGGUAACGAAGCUAACGCGUGAAGUUGACCGCCUGGGGAGUACGGCCGCAAGGUUAAAACUCAAAGGAAUUGACGGGGACCCGCACAAGCGGUGGAUUAUGUGGAUUAAUUCGAUGCAACGCGAAAAACCUUACCUACCCUUGACAUGUACGGAAUCCCCCAGAGAUGGGGGAGUGCCCGAAAGGGAACCGUAACACAGGUGCUGCAUGGCUGUCGU